GACGAACGCUGGCGGCGUGCUUAACACAUGCAAGUCGAACGGAAAGGCCCUGCUUUUGUGGGGUGCUCGAGUGGCGAACGGGUGAGUAACACGUGAGUAACCUGUCCUUGACUUUGGGAUAACUUCAGGAAACUGGGGCUAAUACCGGAUAGGAGCUCCUGCUGCAUGGUGGGGGUUGGAAAGUUUCGGCGGUUGGGGAUGGACUCGCGGCUUAUCAGCUUGUUGGUGGGGUAGUGGCUUAUCAAGGCUUUGACGGGUAGCCGGCCUGAGAGGGUGACUGGCCACAUUGGGACUGAGAUACGGCCCAGACUCCUACGGGAGGCAGCAGUGGGGAAUAUUGCACAAUGGGCGGAAGCCUGAUGCAGCAACGCCGCGUGCGGGAUGACGGCCUUCGGGUUGUAAACCGCUUUCGCCUGUGACGAAGCGUGAGUGACGGUAAUGGGUAAAGAAGCACCGGCUAACUACGUG
rnacentral:rRNA from 1 species